CAGUACUUGAAACACAAUAGGUAUUUGUAAUUGGCUGGACAAGUCACAUGGCAAUAUUCUUUUUCCUGUGGCUUAAUGAGUGUGUUAGUGUACAUACUGGUGCUUGUAAAUGCAGAAUUAUAUCACUAUGUGAAUAUUCAUGCAUGUUAUAUUGUUAUCCUCUUCCCCUAAGUAGCUGUGCCAGCAAAACUCUCUUUUAUGAAUAUCUGUAGAAGAGAAAUAAAAGAGGCAGUAUGUUGGAGGUAAAUAAUUUGACCAUUUGUGCUAAUAUUCAUAUUAAAUGUUUUGCAGGGUUUGCCCAGCCUUGCUUAAGAACAUCUUUCCUAGAAAUGAAUGGAGAAUUUCUGUGAUACUCCCCUCCUUGCUUCUAAGAGGAAGUGCAGAAAUAAAUGGAGACCUGCCAAGCACAAACUGGUGUACAGGACUUGCCUGUGGUCAUCUUCUCUGGAAGAAGGAUUGGAGGUGAAAAUUAGGAGGUGAAAGGCCACAGCAGAGACCUACAGCCACAAACUGCCCUGCAAACCAUCCCUGUUUCUACAGACUCUCAGUGUUAAAGUCAAGUGCUUGUGAAUUUGGGUAGGGGGGAACAACCAUGUCCCUUUUAGCUGCUGCCUCUCAGCUGUUACGUGCUUUCACUUCACCAGAAGGCUCACUGGCUAGAGAUCGCUGACCAAAGCAAAUUCUCCUGCCUUUCAAGCUGUCUAAUUUGAGCACAUGCCUCAUCAGUUUUGGUUAAUUACGGACGUUACUAAUGAGGAAGCAUAUGGAAUGUGCAAACAUGGUGUGUCACACACAAGGACGACAGCAUUGUCUGGAGAGUGAUCCCCUGUUUUGCUACAAUCUCAAUUUAUUGAAAUAAAUCAAUCCAGGGGCCAUGUAUAAUGCA
rnacentral:lncRNA from 1 species